rnacentral:lncRNA from 1 species
GACAACGUCGAUCGAAUGCUUCAAAUGCUGAUAAAUCGAAGUGGAGGGUCACUUCGCAAGCUCUGCGUUACUGGUCUUCAUAACAGCAGCAUUUUCUUCUCCAUCGCUGAUCAGUAAGAAAUUAAAUUUUUGUGGAUAUGAGUUAAAUUGAAUUUUAAUGCCAUGACGCAUUUUUUGCCUUAACAAAUAUAAUAUAAUAUAUAUAUAUAUUUACGUACUUGCUAUGAACAAGAUUUGGUAUAACUGCUCAUGAAGGCCUUGGGUUGGUGCUGACUGUGGAUUUGGUUUGUUAAAAUGGACUAUUUUGUGAUGUUGGUGUUUUGUUUGUGUAUUGCUUUUUUCAAGUGCUGGUUCUCUUCA